rnacentral:rRNA from 1 species
GGAUUAAUCCUCUAUAAUAUCUUUUAAUUUCAUGAUUUUAAGAUUAAAGUUUUAACGGUAAAAGAUGAGCAUGCGUCCUAUUAGUUUGUAGGUGAGGUAACGGCUCACCUAGACUACGAUAGGUAGGGGCCCUGAGAGGGGGAUCCCCCACACUGGUACUGAGACACGGACCAGACUCCUACGGGAGGCAGCAGUAAGGAAUAUUGGACAAUGGACGAAAGUCUGAUCCAGCCAUGCCGCGUGCAGGAUGAAAGCCCUACGGGUUGUAAAC